rnacentral:rRNA from 1 species
GCGCACCAGGCGCGAACCUUCGCAAUGCGGGAAACCGCGACGAGGGACUCCCAGUGCCUACGCUCAGCGUAGGCUGUUCCCGAGCCUAGAAAGCUCGGGGAGUAAGGGCUGGGUAAGACGGGUGCCAGCCGCCGCGGUAAUACCCGCAGCCCGAGUGGUGGCCACUAUUAUUGGGCCUAAAGCGUCCGUAGCCGGCCCGGUAAAUGCCUGGGUAAAUCGUGAGGCCUAACCUCACGAAUUCCGGGUAGACUGCCGGGCUAGGGACCGGAGGAGGGAGAGGGUACUCCAGGGGUAGGGGUGAAAUCCUGUAAUCCCUGGAGGACCACCGGUGGCGAAGGCGCUCUCCUAGGACGGGUCCGACGGUGAGGGACGAAAGCCAGGGGAGCGAACCGGAUUAGAUACCCCGGUAGU